GUCACAAUAGCUUGGAUUUAAAAACAAAAAACUUUUUUUACUGUUAUAGAUUGAAUAGCAGUCAGUGUCCUUAAAGCGGGUGUGUUACGCUAACAGUGGAUACGCUGACAAGUGCCACUAAUUAGAUCUGGUGUCACAAUAGCUUAGAUUUAAAAACAAAAAACUUUUUUCACUGUUAUAGAUUGAAUAGCAGUCAGUGUCCUUAAAGCGG